rnacentral:rRNA from 1 species
GAUGAACGCUGGCGGCGUGCCUAAUACAUGCAAGUCGAGCGAACAGAUGAGAAGCUUGCUUCUCUGAUGUUAGCGGCGGACGGGUGAGUAACACGUGGGUAACCUACCUAUAAGACUGGGAUAACUCCGGGAAACCGGGGCUAAUACCGGAUAAUAUUUUGAACCGCAUGGUUCAAUAGUGAAAGACGGUUUCGGCUGUCACUUAUAGAUGGACCCGCGCCGUAUUAGCUAGUUGGUAAGGUAACGGCUUACCAAGGCGACGAUACGUAGCCGACCGGAGAGGGGGAUCGGCCAAACUGGAACUGAGACACGGUCCAGACUCCUACGGGAGGCAGCAGUAGGGAAUCUUCCGCAAUGGGCGAAAGCCUGACGGAGCAACGCCGCGUGAGUGAUGAAGGUCUUCGGAUCGUAAAACUCUGUUGUUAGGGAAGAACAAAUUUGUUAGUAACUGAACAAGUCUUGACGGUACCUAACCAGAAAGCCACGGCUAACUACGUGCCAGCAGCCGCCGCCG